rnacentral:rRNA from 1 species
UACGAAGGGGGCUAGCGUUGCUCGGAAUCACUGGGCGUAAAGCGCACGUAGGCGGACUCUUAAGUCAGGGGUGAAAUCCUGGAGCUCAACUCCAGAACUGCCUUUGAUACUGGGAGUCUUGAGUUCGGGAGAGGUGAGUGGAACUGCGAGUGUAGAGGUGAAAUUCGUAGAUAUUCGGAAGAACACCAGUGGCGAAGGCGACUUACUGGACACAUAUUGACGCUGAGGUGCGAAAGCGUGGGGAGCAAACAGG